rnacentral:ncRNA from 1 species
CCAGACUCCUACGGGAGGCAGCAGUGGGGAAUAUUGCACAAUGGGCGAAAGCCUGAUGCAGCGACGCCGCGUGGGGGAUGAAGGCCUUCGGGUUGUAAACCCCUUUCAGCAGGGAAGAAGCGAAAGUGACGGUACCUGCAGAAGAAGCGCCGGCUAACUACGUGCCAGCAGCCGCGGUAAUACGUAGGGCGCAAGCGUUGUCCGGAAUUAUUGGGCGUAAAGAGCUCGUAGGCGGUUUGUCGCGUCUGCUGUGAAAACCCGAGGCUCAACCUCGGGCCUGCAGUGGGUACGGGCAGACUAGAGUGCGGUAGGGGAGACUGGAAUUCCUGGUGUAGCGGUGGAAUGCGCAGAUAUCAGGAGGAACACCGAUGGCGAAGGCAGGUCUCUGGGCCGCAACUGACGCUGAGGAGCGAAAGCAUGGGGAGCGAACAGGAUUAGAUACCCUGGUAGUCCAUGCCGUAAACGUUGGGCACUAGGUGUGGGGCUCAUUCCACGAGUUCCGUGCCGCAGCAAACGCAUUAAGUGCCCCGCCUGGGGAGUACGGCCGCAAGGCUAAAACUCAAAGGAAUUGACGGGGGCCCGCACAAGCGGCGGAGCAUGCGGAUUAAUUCGAUGCAACGCGAAGAACCUUACCAAGGCUUGACAUAUACCGAAAACUCAUGGAGACAUGGGGUCCGCAAGGGCGGUAUACAGGUGGUGCAUGGUUGUCGUCAGCUCGUGUCGUGAGAUGUUGGGUUAAGUCCCGCAACGAGCGCAACCCUCGUCCUAUGUUGCCAGCACAUCAUGGUGGGGACUCAUAGGAGACUGCCGGGGUCAACUCGGAGGAAGGUGGGGAUGACGUCAAAUCAUCAUGCCCCUUAUGUCUUGGGCUUCACGCAUGCUACAAUGGCCGGUACAAAGGGCUGCGAUACCGCGAGGUGGAGCGAAUCCCAAAAAGCCGGUCUCAGUUCGGAUUGGGGUCUGCAACUCGACCCCAUGAAGUCGGAGUCGCUAGUAAUCGCAGAUCAGCAACGCUGCGGUGAAUACGUUCCCGGGCCUUGUACACACCGCCCGUCAAGUCACGAAAGUCGGUAACACCCGAAGCCGGUGGCCCAACCCUUGUGGAGGGAGCCGUCGAAGGUGGGACCAGCGAUUGGGACUAAGUCGUAACAAGGUAGCCGUACCGGAAGGUGCGGCUGGAUCACCUCCUUU